CACCUACCGAAGACUAUCAAACUCCGAAUGCCGUCAUCUUAUACUUGGGAGUCAGACUGUGGGUGAUAAGAUUCAUAGUCGAAAGGGCAAUAGCCCAGAUCGUCAGCUAAGGUCCCUAAAUGUAAGUGAAGUGGUAAAGGAUGUGGGAUUGCACAGACAACCAGGAUGUUGGCUUAGAAGCAGCCACUCAUUCAAAGAGUGCGUAAUAGCUCACUGGU
rnacentral:rRNA from 1 species